GGGAAUACCAGGGCUUUAUGUGAUAUGCUCUCGACGAGUCGUGUUGUUUGGGAAUGCAGCACUAAAUGGGUGGUAAAUUCCAUCUAAAGCUAAAUAUUGGCGAGAGACCGAUAGUGAACAAGUACCGUGAGGGAAAGAUGAAAAGAACUUUGAAAAGAGAGUUAAACAGUACGUGAAAUUGUUGAAAGGGAAACGCUUGAAGUCAGUCAUGUCUUCCAGGGAUCAAGUUGCCUUUUGGGUGACCGUACUUUCUGGUUGAUAGGUCAGCAUCAAUUUUAAUCAUUGGAUAAAGAUCUUGGGAAUGUGGCAUCUUUGGAUGUGUUAUAGACCUUGAUUGGAUAUAAUGGUUAGGAUUGAGGAACUCAGUAUGCCUUCAUGGUUGGGGCUUGUUGCUCAC
rnacentral:rRNA from 1 species